rnacentral:misc_RNA from 1 species
GAAGUUCAUUUGCACUUUUUUUGAAUAUAGAGGGUUUACAAAGGUUCUAAUAAAUGCAAACCUCUAAAAUUGUGCGAUUUGAACUCUCGACUCUUUCACACAAUUUUGAUUUUAAGUUAAACUGGUCAAAGGCUCGCGGUUCAUUUUUGUUGCAAUAUUAAUUGAUAUGCUUUAGCAAAUGCUUGAAAAGGUUAUAGACAUGACUUGAUAUUCUAGUUUGAACCAUUGGAUUUGCAAUAUUAUUACCAUUAGAAUAGUAAGAUUUGCACUCUUUUUACAAUGUAUUUUUAAAACAUUUAAUAUUCUUUUUUUUUUCUCCCUAAAAUUGUCGGGCUUGAAGAGUGUGAACUUUGUAGGCAAAUUGUA